GACGAACGCUGGCGGCGUGCUUAACACAUGCAAGUCGAACGAAGUGGCGAACGGGUGAGUAACGCGUAAUCAACCUGCCCUUCAGAGGGGGACAACAGUUGGAAACGACUGCUAAUACCGCAUACUGAUGGAGGGGAUUGCGUCGGAUUCGCCCGUUGGAGGGGUAACGGCCCACCAAGGCGAUGAUCAGUAGCCGGGCUUGCAGGGUGAACAGCAACAAUGGGACCGAGACAACGCCCAGGCUCCUACGGGGGGGAGCAGUGGGGAAUCUGCGGCAAUGGGGGGAAGUCCGGCGGAGCAAUUGCGCGUGGGUGAUGGCGGCCUUCGGGUUGUAAAGCUCUGUUAAUCGGGACGCGGUACCUGAAGAGAAAGCCACGGCUAACUACGUGCCAGCCGCCGCGGUAAUAC
rnacentral:rRNA from 1 species